rnacentral:lncRNA from 1 species
CCUAUCCAAAAACUUUCAUGUCUCAUAAACAAGUAACAACCAACAAAUAUUGACCUAAAUCAGUCACAAUAUUCAUCAACUAACCACAAACGGGUUUCCACCAAUAUUACCAACCUCCUCAACAUAAUAAAACCAAAACCAACUCUAAAAAUACGGAAAGAAAGUAUGAUACUAGUAACUAGUCCAUAUCAACAAAUGAGUACUCAGGACACUAAAAGGAUAAUUAUGGAGCGACUCUAAAAGUUCAAAGAAAAGGCCAUAACAAUAAAUAAAAUCUCUGCCCACGCGAAUAAGUGCGAGGCUCACCAAAAACUAUCAACUUGUGCGCUCUAAUUAACGAAAUCCUCGCCUGCGUCAACUGUUGUCUCUGUACAAAAAAAUUAGCAGGGAAUGAGUCGCUAGCUCAGUGAGUAAUAACACUUAACCACAACCGUUUUUAUUGGGGACAAGUCAGAAAACAUGCUAGUAUAUAUAUUAAACAGAAAAUAUCAUAAGAAUGCCCUUUCAGAAACAAUAAACAAUAAUCAGUCUCAUCAUGUUUUUUUAUGUAAUAUAAAUCAAUUGACAAUUCGAUAAUAAGCUCGGUAAAAUACUGUGUAAUAUCAUUCAUGUUUGGGAAGUUUCAAUGAAUAGAUCAUGUAAUCGGUAUAACUGUGGACUUCUUCGUAAGAAGUCAAAUAUAACGUUAGUCCCUACUCGAGGGAAAUCGGUAACGGUAUGCUAGUUCUACCUUCUCACUAGCGAGGGCUAUAAUUGUACUCGGUAAUUACAAGGUGCACCAGGUCUAACGAACCCGUCGUUAGCUACGGCAUCCUUCAAAGUCUACUCUCAUUUAUACUUGUCUCUGUAAUCCGUAUAUACUCAUAGGAAAAUAUUUUAAAAUAAUAUAGGACAUUUCGGUUCUUAUCAAAUCAUGUAACUCAUAUCUAGUAAUGUACAAUUUGUUAGCAUGUACAAGCCGUUACUACCAUAAAAAAGAUUCAGAUUUACAGUUUGAAAGUCCCUGUAAAAAUCUCUGUCCUUCAUCGUCAUUAUUCUCAUAUUAGGUUAUAAAGUCUCAUAACUAAGUUAAGUGAAAAAAUAGACUUAGAUAUUCUCCUAAGGAGAAGAGUGAAAGCAUGGAGUCCCAGAUUUUUGUGCCUCACGAAAAUAUGCAGGUGGAACUCAUGCCUGAAGCUCAAAAGCCUUGUUCAUCCACCAGUAAAUUACUGAUCUAUGGAAUCUAAAUGAUUAAAUUAUCUGUACAAGGGCAAUUGACAAAGCAAAAGUACUACCUGUUUUACCAUCACUGAUAAAGUUAGAUUUUCCUUUCCGCAGGACUGUAACACCGCCAAUCCUGAUCAAAUGGAUAUUUUAUCAAGUAACUGUAAAAUAUAUCUAGUGACAACAAGAAUAUUUAAAACAACGGUAAUCAUGUCAAAUAACUAUUUCGGUAUCAUAUCGAGUAAAAGACUUGUCCCACAUGCAACUCAAAAUAAUCGGUGACAUAUUCAUAUUAAAAAUUAUGUGUAAAUCAUGCAAGUUAUGAAAAAUACAAAUUGCGGUAAGAUUACUACUCACAGUACUCGAGCCGAAUACCAAAUGCUUCACCUCGAGCAAUUCGUACAACUUCCUCCAAUCAAUCUAUAAUCAUAUCAACACCGAUCUCGUGUUAAUUGCCUCAUUUAAGCUAAAUCCGUCACUAAUUUAGAAUACCCAAUCCUCCGAGUUUUAUAUUUUAUCAUCAAUUCGCCGAAUUAUAUUUACUCAUGCUAUGAGUAAUUUAAAUUAGUCCAAAAUCGUUUAAAUAAAAAGGUAUUUAUAUGGUUUAUUCCCUGUACUGUUCAAUUUCCUUAAUCGUGUGCAUAAAUUGAAACUGAAAUAACAUUACUGUCCAUAAUAUCCCUUAUUUUUUUCCAAGUGAAUUUAUCUUACAGUAACGUUGACCAACUUCCAAUUGCAUAAUUUGCCCAGAAUAACUCUUAUUGGUAUUAUAUUUCUUAUACCUUGUGAAACUCUUCAAAUAUAUGAACUGAGAUAAAAAGAAUUACCAAAAAAAAAGAACUCAGAUGAGAAAUUCGAGUAUUACCCAUAAGAACCAGUGCGUAACUAAGAUUUCUCAAGGUUUGGUUCCAGCCUCUUUCUUCUUCUUCUUCUUCUCCUUUUGUUUCCUCCUCUAUGGUUUUUUUUUGUUUCUUCUAUGUUGUUUAGCAACAGCUUUGUUGCGUCCCUUUUCCCCUUUUCACGUUUCUCCUUCUAAUGGGCUUUAGCCCAUUUUUCUAUUAUUUCUUCUUCUUUUUAUUAACUUUAGUUAAAGACUUAUAUGCCUUUAUUAAUAAAAUAUAGGAUAUUAUAUCCUCCCCACCUUAUGAAAUUCGGUCCCCGAAUUGAACUCAAGUACGUACAUGUAGACUGAAACAAAUGGGGUACUUCGCUUGCAUAUCUUUUUCUACUUCCCACGUAGCUUCUUCAACUGUAUGAUUUCGCCAUAAGACUUUUACGAACUCAAUUUCUUUUGACCGUGGCUUUCUUACUUGCCUAUCAACAAUAGCCAUCGGUUCCUCCUCGUAAGACAACUUCUCAUCAAGCGGUAUAGCAGGUGCUUCAAGCAUCUGAGAUGAGUCUGAUAUACAUUUCCUUAGCAUUGAGACAUGAAACAUUGGAUGAAUAAAGGAUAGCUCAGGAGGAAGUGCCAAGAGAUAAGCCACAACUCCCACUCGGUCUAGUAUCUCAUACGGUCCUAUAAACCUGGGGCUCAACUUGCCUCUUUUUCCAAACCGCAUCAUACCUUUCAUGGGAGACUCGUAGGAACACUUUGUCCCCAAUUGUGAACUUUAAAUUUCUUCUUCUCUUAUCAGCAUAAGACUUUUGUCUACUUUGAGCUGCAAGAAAUCCCUGUCUGAUCAACUGGACCUUGUCCAUAGCUUCUUGUACUAGGUCAGGUCCUAAUAAGUUAGUCUCACCAACUUCAAACUAUCAGAUAAGAAAAUGAUAUCUUCUACCAUACAAUGCUUCGUACGGUGCCAUUUGAAUGUUGGACUGGAAGUUAUUGUUGUAAGCAAAUUCAGCUAAAGGUAGAUAAGCGUCACAACUACCUCCAAACUCAAGAAUGCAAGCUCUCAACAUAUCCUCCAAGAUCUGUAUAGUACGUUCAGACUGCCCGUCUGUAUGUGGAUGAAAUGCAGUACUAAGAUCUACUCGUGUACCCAAUGCUUCUUGAAAAGAUUUUCAAAAGUGUGAGGUAAAUUGUGAUCCUCUAUCAGAGAUGAUGGAUAUUGGAACUUCGUGAAGUCGGAUAAUUUCGUUCAUAAAUAUUUGUGCAUACCUUACUCCAUCAUAUGUAGUCUUCACUGGAAAAAAGUGUGUUGAUUUCAUCAGUCGAUCUACAAUCACCCAUACAGAGUCAUAACCUCUAAGGGUUCGUGGUAGCCCGGUGACAAAAUCCAUAGUAAUUCUUUCCCAUUUCCACUCUGGAAUCUCAUUUUGUUGUAACAGUCCUGCGGGUCGCUGAUGCUCAGCCUUGACCUACUGGCAAGUCAAACAACUAGAAACAAAGUUAGCAACAUCUUUCUUCAUACCUUCCCACCAAUAGAAUUGCUUUAGGUCAUGAUACAUUUUUGUGGAUCCAGGAUGUAUAGUGUAUUUAGAGUUGUGGGCUUUUUCAAGAAUAGCAUGUCUCAACCCAUCUACGUCUGCUACACAUAGCCUGUCACCCAUUCGAAGCAUACCAUCACUUUCAAUAAUUAUAUCCUUGCUUUUACCAGCUAAGGCAUCAUCUCUGUAUUUGCAUAAUCGCUCAUCCUCAUAUUGGGUGGCCUUAAUGCGCUCAACUAAUGAAGACUUAGCUUGAGCACAAGCCAACAAUGCCUUUGAAUUUCCGACACUAAAUCUGAUACCUAUAUCUUCUAGUCUCUGAAUAUCUUUGGCCAAAAGUCUCUUUGCAAGAGCUAUAUGUGCCAAACUCCCCAUAGAUUUUCUGCUCAAUGCAUCAGCCACCACAUUGGCUUUUUCAGGAUGAUACAAAAUAGAACAGUCAUAGUCUUUGAGUAGUUCCAUCCACCGACGUUGCCGAAGAUUCAGAUCUCUAUGAUGAAAGAUAUACUUCAGACUUUUAUGGUCAGUAUAAAUCUCACAAGUUUCGCCAUAUAGGUAAUGCCUCCAAAGUUUUAGAGCAAAUACCACUGCAGCCAUAUCCAAAUCAUGUGUGGGAUAGUUUUGCUUAUGCUUUUUCAAUUAUCUCGAAUCAUAAUCUAUAACGCGACCAUUUUGCAUGAGAACACAUCCUAAUCCCACCCUCGAGGCGUCACAGAAUAAUGUAAAUCCUCCAGAACCUGAUGGUAAGGCUAAUAUUGGUGCAAUUAUCAAACAUGUUUUGAGUUUUUGAAAGCUCUGCUCACAUUCCUCCGUCAACUGAAACUUUGCAUUUUUCUGUGUUAGCUUGGUCAGUAGCGCUGCUAUCCUGGAGAAAUCCUACACAAAAACGCCUGUAAUAGGCUGCUAAGCCUAAAAAGCUGCGAAUCUUUGUAGGAGAAGUAGGCCUGGGCCAUUUCUGCACAGCUUUUGUCUUCUUAGGAUCUACCAUAAUUCCAUCUUUGGAUACAACAUGCCCCAAAAAUGCUACCGAGUCUAGCCAAAAUUCACACUUUGAUAACUUAGCAUAAAGUUGAUGCUCUCGCAAUGUCUGCAACACAAUCCUGAGAUGAUUCUCGUGUUCUCCUUGGCUACGAGAAUAUAUCAGGAUAUCAUCAAUAAAUACUAUUACAAAUCUAUCCAGAAACGGCUUGAACACCCUAUUCAUUAAAUCCAUGAAUGCAGCUAGAGCAUUAGUUAGUCCGAAAGGCAUCACAAGAAACUCAUAGUGCCCAUAUCGAGUUCUGAAAGCAGUCUUAGAAAUAUCUUCAUCUUUGAUUCUAAGUUGAUGAUAACCAAAACAGAGGUCAAACUUUGAAAAUUGGGCAGCUCCUUAUAACUGAUCAAACAUGUCAUCUAUACGAGGCAAAGGAUAUUUAUUGCGUAUUGUUAUCUUGUUCAACUGCCUGUAGUCAAUGCACAUUCUCAGGGAUCCGUCUUUCUUCUUUACGAACAGUACCGGUGCACCCCAUGGAGAUAUACUCGGUCUGAUAAAACUCUUAUCUAACAAAUCCUGCAGUUGUUGUUUUAGCUCCUUCAACUCUGCUAGUGCCAUCCGAUAUGGCAGUAUUGAUAUGGGUUGUGUGUCAGGUGGAAAAUCAAUACCAAAAUCUAUUUCUCGUACUGGAGGCAAUCUUGGUAAAUCCUUAGGAAAUACAUCAGAAAAUUCUCUCACUACUGGUACAUUUUCUAUACUAAUUAUUUCCUUUCUUGUGUCAUUUACAAUAGCUAUGAGACCCAAGCAACCUUUCUUCAGCAGUCGUUGAGCCUUCAUAAAAGAUACAUAUUUGUAAUUCUCUGGAACCUGACCCCCUUUUAGAACAAAAUUGGGUUCGUUUGGUAUCUCAAACUUGACUAUCUUUGCAUGACAAUCGACGAUAGCAUAGCAGAAAGAUAACCAAUACAUUCCCAUCAACAUGUCAAAGUCGAUCAUAUCAAGUACAAUAAGGUCAGCUAGAGUAUCUCUACCUUCAACCCGAAUCUAACAAGCACGAUACACGUAUUCAGCUAAUAGAGACUCUACAACAGGAGUAGCAACUAGAAAAGGGUACACGUAUUCAGCUAAUAGAGACUCUACAAUAGGAGUAGCAACUAGAAAAGGGUCAUUCAAUAGCUCAGGCUGCUACUAAACCUCAAAGCACAGUACGAGGACACAUAGGUGUGAGUAGAUCCCGGAUCAAUCAACGCAAGUGCAUCAAAUGAACAGACAGAAAGAAUACCUGUAACCACAACAUUUGAGGCCUGAGCAUCCUGUCUAGUAAAUGCAAAAACUCUCGCCUGACCUCUACCAGCAUUCCCUUGUCCUUGAUUCACAGUAGCAUGAUCUCCAGCACCUCGACCUCUAUUUCAUUUACCUGUAGCACCUGAAGUAUUACGAGUAAUCUGAGUAGGUGCAGCUGACUGAAUAGAAGCCUGGUUGAAAUUUCUUGGAGGCUGAGGGCAAUCCCUCAAGUGAUGUCCCAACUGGCCACACCGAAAGCACUCUCCAAUUAGAAUACGAUAUUGGCCCAAAUGUGAUCUACCACAGGUCUGGCAGACUGGAGUAGUGGCAUAUAUCUGCCCAGAAUUAUGAUGUCCAGAAGAUGAUGGUCCCCUAUUACCCUGUCUGUAAUGCGGUCUGUAUGUGGACUGUGAAGACAAGUGUGUCCCUGUCUGAAAACCCUGUUGUUGUCCCUGAUUUCCUGCUCUUCGAUUUUCACUAAAACCGCCACUGAAAGACCCUCAUGUCUUGGCCUUCUUACGUAAAUCACUAGUUACACGCUUCUCACGUCCCUUGGUUUCAAUCUUUCUAGCAAGGUCGACUGCAUCAGAGUAGGAUAAAGUCUUCAUCUGUGGGGCUACUGCAGUGUAUAGACGACCAACUAAUCCAUCAACAAACCUCUGAACUCGAGAUUCUUCGGUAGGCACUAAGUAAGGGACAUAUCUAGCCAGCUUACAAAACUUUGUGUUAUAUGUUGACACAUCCAUAUCUGGAGUCUGAACCAAUCUCUCAAAGUCUCUAGCAUAUUUUUGCAUCAAGUUGUCCGGAAGAAAAUUAUUCAUGAACAAUUUAGUGAAUUCGUCCCAUGUCAGUGGUGCUGCUCCUACUGAGCUUCCUAGCAAUACAGUUUCAUACCAUGUGUUGGCCAUAUCCUCUAGUUUGUAUGUUGCGAGCUCCGAGGCUCUCUCACUAGAACAUCCUAGAGCAGGUAAUGCCUCGAGUGGCCCAUCCAAGAAACUUUAAGGAUCUGCUGAAUUAUCAAAACCUGUAAAUUUUGGUGAUUUCAAUUUCAGGAACUCUUGUAGGGAUACUUCCUUAUUCCCGAAAGUUUGAGUUUGUGCAGGUGCUUGUGUUUGUAGAGUAGCCGGAGGAGCUGAACUUCCACCCUGAGUAGGCACCAAUGCCUCUAACACAUUCAAUAACCUUGCCACAGCGUCUGCAGGUAAGGCAACAGUUGGCACUGGUGGUGGAGCGUCUUGAACUCCCUGCCCUUGCACUUGAUAUGGCAUAGCAGCUUGGGGUUGACCCAUGUUCCCAACUUCAGGUUGAGGGGCAGCCUGUCUUCUAGUUUGAUGAACGCCAACUUGACCGCCACCCCGGGUAGCACCACGUCUAGCCCCACGUCCAGCAGAUGAGGGUGUGCGUAUGCUAGCCAUCUGCGAAAGAAAUAUUCCAAAGUCAAUCUCAAGUUAUCUCAACGCACGAUCAAAGAAUGAAAGAAGGGAAAACAUUCCUAGAUGUUCAGUAGCCUCAAGAUCAAGAGUAUGGGCGCCUACAUACCCAUGAACAAGACUCUACAAAACAUUGCUCCAUGAAUCGGGACUUAAAGCCUAAGAUCUGAUACCAACUUUGUCACGGCCCAAUUUAGGAUCAUGACCGGCGCUUAGGAGCAAGUGCCCCCAAGUAAGCCUCAUCGGUAUUUUACAGAAAAUCUGAUAGAGUUUUCCCUAUUUUAGGAUUAUCCAAAAGUUUUCAUGUCUCAUAAACAAUAUACAACCAACCAAUAUUCACCUAAAUCAACCACAAUCUUCAUGAACUAACCAAAAAUGAGUUUUCGCCAACACUACCAUAAUAAUACUAAGCCCAUCUCAAAAAUACGGAAAGAAAGUGCAAUACUAGUAACUAGUCCAAUAUAACGAAUGAAUACUCUUGACACUAAUAAAAAUGACUAUGGAGCGACUCUAAGAGUUCAAAAGGAAAGACGAUAAAAAUAAAUAAACUCUUCGCCCACGCAAACAAGUGCGGGGCUCACCAGGAUCUAUCAACUUGUGUAUUAUAAUUAACGAAAUCAUCGUUCACGUCAACUGAUGUAUCUGGAAAAAAAUAGCGGGGAGUGAGUCGCUAGCUCAGUGAGUAAUAACACUUAACCACAAUUAUUUUUAAUGGGGACAUGUCAGAAACCAUGCUAGUAUAUUAACCAGAAAAUAUCAUAAGAAUGCCCCCUUUCUAAAACGGUAAAUAUAAUCAGACUUUUCAUGUGUUUCCUGUAACAGAAAUCAAUUCAACAUAUCGGUAAUAAACUCGGUAAACACUGUCUCAUAGCAAAUCUUUAUGUUUGGGAGGUUUCCAAGAAAGGAUCAUGUAAUAUGUAUCACUGUGUGGACCUCUUCGUAAAAGGAGUCAAAUAUAGUUGUAGGUCCCUAAUCGAGGGAAAACUGUAACUGUAUGCUAGUUCUACCUUCCCACUAGCAAGGGUUAUAACUGUAAUUGGUAAUCUGUAAAUACAAGGUGAACCAGGUCUAACGAACCCACCGUUAGCUACGGGAUCCUUCAAAGUCUACUCCCAUUUAUACUUGUCGCUGUAAUCCGUAUAUACUUGUCGGAAAAUAUUUUAUAGCAAUAUCGGGUAUUUCGGUUCUUAUCAAAUCAUGUAAUUUCGUUUCAAUAACGGUAAAUCUUAUCUCAAGUAACGAUAAAACAUAUUCAGUAGCAAUGAGAAUAUUCAUAUCAAUUGUAAUCAUCUCCAAUAUAUAUAGUGGCAUCAUAUCAAGUAAAGGACUUGUCCCACAUGCAAAUUCAAAACAGCCGAUGACAUGUUCAUGUUAAAAUCACAUGUAAAUCAUGCUAGUUGUAGAAACCCAAAUUGCGAUAAGGUUACUACUCACAGUACUCGUGCCGGAAUACAAACUUGUCACUUGCGAGCACUUCGUGUGACUUUCUUCACGACCUAUACUGUUACAAAAUCAAUAUAGGUAUUAGCUUCGUGAACUACCAAUGUAAUCGAUUCCAGAUCCUGUCAAAUCUAAUCUAUUUUUCUGUUUUCACUCCUCGAAAUAUGAUCAUCUAUUCUCUAUUAAUAGUAAUUAACUGGAAAGUAAAUUGGUUCUUGCUUCUGUGUAUGUCAAUAUAUAUAGAUUGCUUAUACAGAUACUUAGAAUUGCCUGGGAACUCAAUACCUUUGCUAUAUUUCACGUACUGCUUUGCAAGCACUCAGAGACUCUCCACUAAAGUAGCAUGAAAGUCAUAGAUUCAUUACUUUCUCAAUUUAGAAUAAUGACAAUCUGAUCUCAUUCAUAGGUAUUCUCCUAUACAAUUCAAUCGAAACUCAGUAUGACCACGUUAUCAAUAUCACUAUUUAGCCAUGAUAAUCUGGAUAUACCUAUGUUAAUGGAAAAAACAAAAUACCUUGAAACUCGAAUUAAACUCCGCUGAAAGUGGCUCUCUUGCUGCACCAGAUCGCUAGACACUAUAAAGACCUUCUUGAUUUUCUCUUUAUAGAUGUGAACUUGCUACCAACAACUUUGUUGUUCCUCAAUUUUAUUUUAUUUUGCAGGAGCCUUAAUGCCCCAACUCUCCUACUCUUAUUCAUUUUUCUUUGAGAUUGCAAGGAAUUGGAAUUUUACCCCUUCCCAAACUCUAUACGAUGCCCUAUAUCCAAUAUUUCUUGGGCUUCGGCCCUUCUAUUUUUUUUUAUUUGCUUGCUUGUUUCUAUCUUUAUUUAUGUAUUUGUAGGGUAUUACAUUCUCUCUAUCUUAUAAAAUUCGGUCUCCGAAUUUAAAAGAAAUGCAUACCUAUAGUGUGAAAUAAGUGAGAAUAUUUCAUGGAGUAAGAUGUUGACAAUUCC